AAUUGAGAAUUUUUUUUAAUAUCAUUUCAGGGAGGACAGAGACCUGCAUUGAACGAUGGAUGAUUACCCUUGAGGGUCGCGUCAUUUGUGAAGGUGUACACCCAAGAUUUCUGACUGCAGUAGCAACAAUGUUCGCAAUGUACUACGUCUUUAACCUUCAGUAUACAGAGGAGGCAUGUGGCACAUUGGAAUUCAUUCAGAGACGAUUCAUUGGGAUAAACCCUGAAAAAGGCACGAAGACCAGCAGAGGCAAGGUUGUUUCAAAGAAAACUGGAAAGAUCGUGAACAAGACGACAGCUACUGUCAACCCCAAAGUCGCAUCCCUUCUAAAGAACCUCAUCGAUUUCGAAUGGGAUUUUGUCUAGACCCGGAUGUCCUGUCAGGUCAGAGCCAUCAGAAGCUGGAGUGAGACAUUUUUUUCGACUACUGGUUUGGUUAAAUGUUUGGUUGACUAUGUGUUCCUAUCAGACUUGCACUUAGUCUCAUGCCAGAUUAAACAACAACAAAAACUUGUGGCAUUUUGGCAGGGGGUUUUUUUCUACUGUAUUUGUAGUUUUUUUUUUUUUUUUUUACACAGGGGUUCCUUUAAUUGCACUUUUUCUCUGUGAUGCUGCUUUUAUUGUUAAACAUACUUUUAAAUGUUUACACUUAAAAUACUGUUAAAAGAUUGUAAUAAGAGCCAAUUUAACAAUGCUUUUAGUUGUUAUAAAUGGCAAAUGAAGCACUAUAUCAGUCUAUUUCUCCUUUUAUUUUCUUUACACGAGAGAUGUUACGAUAUCAGACAGAGUAAAUAGGAAGUAACUUGUAUUGUAUUUCACAAUUAUAGCUGCCAUUACUGUGAAAUUACAGCACAGUCAUAAAAUGUAAAACAGAAAUUAAAGUGUAGAAUUAUGAGAAAUCUCUGGAACCAUUGCUGCCAGUACUUUACUGUAAAAUUACAGCACAGCCGUAAAACAGAAAACAGUACUUGAACUGUAAAUUAACACUAAAUGGCUGGAACCACUGCUGCCAGUAUUUUACUGUAAAUUUACGGGGAAAUUUUUUACAGUGUACAUUUAUAAAUCCAUGGUCUGUCUGUCUCUAUCUCUUGCUCUCAACUUUUUUUUUUUUUUUUUUUUUUUUAAAUCGGUAAAGAUUUUAAAGGUAUAAGUGUACAGCAACUGACUUUCCAAAAUAAUUUUACCCUGAAAAAUAUUCACUAGAGUAAACAUGUGACAUCUUGCCCCAGUCUCCUCUACAGUAUA